AAUCAGUUAUCGUUUAUUUGAUAGUACCUUACUACUUGGAUAACCGUGGUAAUUCUAGAGGUAAUACAUGCUAAAAACCCCGACUUCGGAGGAGGUGUAUUUAUUAGAUAAAAAACCAAUGCCCUUCGGGGCUCUUUGGUGAUUCAUAAUAACUUAACGGAUCGCAUGGCCCCUUGGACCGGCGACCGUUCAUUCAAAUUUCUGCCCUAUCAACUUUCGAUGGUAAGGUAUUGGCUUACCAUGGUUUCAACGGGUAACGGGGAAUAAGGGUUCUAUUCCGGAGAGGGAGCCUGAGAAACGGCUACCACAUCCAAGGAAGGCAGCAGGCGCGCAAAUUACCCAAUCCCGACACGGGGAGGUAGUGACAAUAAAUACUGAUACAGGGCUCUUUUGGGUCUUGUAAUUGGAAUGAGUACAAUUUAAAUCCCUUAACGAGGAACAAUUGGAGGGCAAGUCUGGUGCCAGCAGCCGCGGUAAUUCCAGCUCCAAUAGCGUAUAUUAAAGUUGUUGCAGUUAAAAAGCUCGUAGUUGAACCUUGGGCCUGGCUGGCCGGUCCGCCUCACCGCGUGUACUGGUCCGGCCGGGCCUUUCCUUCUGGAGAGCCCCAUGCCCUUCACUGGGUGUGCGGGGGAACCAGGACUUUUACUUUGAAAAAAUUAGAGUGUUCAAAGCAGGCCUUUGCUCGAAUACGUUAGCAUGGAAUAAUAGAAUAGGACGUGUGGUUCUAUUUUGUUGGUUUCUAGAACCGCCGUAAUGAUUAAUAGGGAUAGUCGGGGGCAUCAGUAUUCAAUUGUCAGAGGUGAAAUUCUUAGAUUUAUUGAAGACUAACUACUGCGAAAGCAUUUGCCAAGGAUGUUUUCAUUAAUCAGUGAACGAAAGUCAGGGGAUCGAAGACGAUCAGAUACCGUCGUAGUCUUGACCGUAAACUAUGCCGACUAGGGAUCGGGCGGUGUUUCUAUCUUGACCCGCUCGGCAC
rnacentral:rRNA from 1 species